ACCGGCGAACGGGUGCGUAACACGUAAGCGACCUACCUCGAUGUGGGGCAUAGCCGGCCUAACGGCCGGGUAAUUCCGCAUGUGAUCCUUGGGGGGCAUAUCCCGGGGAUGAAACCAGUAAUGGGCAUUGAGAGGGGCUUGCGGCCUAUCAGCUUGUUGGCGAGGUAACGGCUCACCAAGGCGACGACGGGUAGCUGGUCUGAGAGGAUGGCCAGCCACAUUGGGACUGAGAAACGGCCCAGACUCCUACGGGAGGCAGCAGUGGGGAAUCUUGCGCAAUGGCCUAACGGCUGACGCAGCGACGCCGCGUGAGGGAUGAAGCUCCUCGGAGUGUAAACCUCUGUUGCCCGGGACGAAUAGCGGAUUUUUCCGACUUGACGGUACCGGGUGAGGAAGCACCGGCUAACUCCGUGCCAGCAGCCGCGGUAAUACGGGGGGUGCGAGCGUUGUCCGGAAUCACUGGGCGUAAAGGGCGCGUAGGUGGCUUUGUAAGUUUGCGGUGAAAGCCCGGGGCUCAACCCCGGGUCUGCCGUGGAUACUGCAAGGCUUGAGUACUGUAGAGGCAGGUAGAAUAUCGGGUGUAGCGGUGGAAUGCGUAGAGAUCCGAUAGAAGACCGGUGGCGAAGGCGGCCUGCUGGGCAGUAACUGACACUGAGGCGCGACAGCGUGGGGGAGCAAACAGGAUUAGAUACCCUGGUAGUCCACGCCGU
rnacentral:rRNA from 1 species